UGUCUGGAGGUGGAGGGGAUGAGUGUUUGGGUGAACAAUGAAAUUAAGGAGAUGAGAGUGUUGUUGGGCUGGGUUAACAACAUAGACAUCAGUGGUUUCGAUUUUCUAGUUGUUGAUUUCCUUCUUCAUGGUCGGAGCAUAGGCCUUACGUGUGUGUUGAUCACUAAUCAGGAUGGGGAUUGUCUUUAAAUUUCCAUGGACCUUGAGCCUGGUGGUUACUAGUCUAUUACAAUAUUUCAGCAAAUUACUUCUGUGGACAACAACAUUGCUGUUUAAAUUAUUGCAGGAAGUAACCUUAAGACCCUGGUAUUUUAACGGUUCUAAUGCAAAGGCUGGGUCAAGGAAGAAAAAGAAUGCAUGAUGAUGAUUUGGAUGGAGAGGAGGAUGUUUCCACAUCAUCUAACCAACCACAUGAAAAAAUGAGUGAUGAUAUCUCUCAUCCUUCAGAGGUGUCUGCCACAUGAGCAACAUCUGGUAAAUUAUCUAAUUCCCUUGUCCUCAGUUACUUUCGAGUAAAAUUGAUUUCAUUUAUAUUGCUUAUAAAUCA